rnacentral:rRNA from 1 species
AAUCAACGCUGGCGGCGUGCCUAACACAUGCAAGUCGAACGCGAAAGCCCCUUCGGGGGCAAGUAGAGUGGCGUCCGGGUGAGUAACACGUGGGUAAUCUACCUCCGGGUGGGGAAUAACUCGCCGAAAGGCGGGCUAAUACCGCAUAAUGCAGCGGCACCGAAUGGUGAUUAGUUGUUAAAGCGGGGGACCUUAGGGCCUCGCGUCUGGAGAGGAGCCUGCGGCAGAUUAGCUUGUUGGUAGGGAAUGGCCUACCAAGGCUGCGAUCUGUAGCUGGUCUGAGAGGACGGCCAGCCACACUGGCACUGACACACGGGCCAGACUCCUACGGGAGGCAGCAGUGGGGAAUUUUGGGCAAUGGGCGAAAGCCUGACCCAGCAACGCCGCGUGAGGGAGGAAAUCCUUCGGGAUGUAAACUUCACAAGACAAGGGAAGAGCGCGCAGGGUCGGAAUAAACUCUGCGUCCGACGGUACCUUGCGUAAGCCACGGCUAACUACGUGCCA